rnacentral:rRNA from 1 species
GCCUGAUCCAGCCAUGCCGCGUGCAGGAUGACGGUCCUAUGGAUUGUAAACUGCUUUUGUACGAGAAGAAACACUCCUAUGUAUAGGAGCUUGACGGUAUCGUAAGAAUAAGGAUCGGCUAACUCCGUGCCAGCAGCCGCGGUAAUACGGAGGAUCCAAGCGUUAUCCGGAAUCAUUGGGUUUAAAGGGUCCGUAGGCGGUUUGGUAAGUCAGUGGUGAAAGCCCAUCGCUCAACGGUGGAACGGCCAUUGAUACUGCCAGACUUGAAUUAUUAUGAAGUAACUAGAAUAUGUAGUGUAGCGGUGAAAUGCUUAGAGAUUACAUGGAAUACCAAUUGCGAAGGCAGGUUACUACUAAUGGAUUGACGCUGAUGGACGAAAGCGUGGGUAGCGAACGGGAUUAGAUACCCUGGUAGUCCACGCCGUAAACGAUGGAUACUAGCUGUUGGAAGCAAUUUCAGUGGCUAAGCGAAAGUGAUAAGUAUCCCACCUGGGGAGUACGUUCGCAAGAAUGAAACUCAGAGGAAUUGACGGGGGCCCGCACAAGCGGUGGAGCAUGUGGUUUAAUUCGAUGAUACGCGAGGAACCUUACCAAGGCUUAAAUGUAGAUUGACCGGUUUGGAAACAGA